CUACGGGACGCACCAGUGAGGAAUAUUGCACAAUGGGGGGAACCCUGAUGCAGCAACGCCGCGUGGAGGAUGACGCAUUUCGGUGUGUAAACUCCUUUUAUAUGUCAAGAAAAUGACGGUAGCAUAUGAAUAAGCACCGGCUAACUCCGUGCCAGCAGCCGCGGUAAUACGGAGGGUGCAAGCGUUACUCGGAAUCACCGGGCGAAAGGACGCGUAGGCGGGUUGGAAAGUCAGGUGUGAAAUCCUACAGCUUAACUGUAGAACUGCACUUGAGACUUCUAAUCUAGAGUAUGGGAGGGGGAGAUGGGAUUAGUGGUGUAGGGGUAAAAUCCGUAGAUAUCACCAGGAAUACCUAAAGCGAAGGCGAUCUCCUGGAACAUUACUGACGCUAAGGCGUGAAAGCGUGGGGAGCAAACAGGAUUAGAUACCCCCGUAGUC
rnacentral:rRNA from 1 species